rnacentral:rRNA from 1 species
UCAAUCUCGUGCGGCUAUAUAUACCGCCGGUCCCUCUAAGAAGAUACAUACGUGAACGCCGGUAGUGAAAGUCGCAUCGCACGAGGCGACGCGACCCUCUAGAAUACCGGAAGAUCGUCUAUUUAAUAGGCUAGAGUUACGUUCGUUAC